UACGUAGGCAGCGAGCGUUGUUCGGAGUUACUGGGCGUAAAGAGUGCGUAGGCGGUUUUCUAAGUUUGGUGUGAAAUCCCUCAGCUUAACUGGGGAACUGCGUCUGAUACUGGAUGGCUUGAGUGCAGGAGAGGAAUGCGGAAUUCCAGGUGUAGCGGUGAAAUGCGUAGAUAUCUGGAGGAACACCGGUGGCGAAGGCGGCAUUCUGGACUGUAACUGACACUGAGGAACGAAAGCCAGGGGAGCAAACGGG
rnacentral:rRNA from 1 species